rnacentral:misc_RNA from 1 species
GGCUUCCGUGUUUCUGUAGUUCCUGUGACAUGAUAAUAUAUAACCAAAUAAAAAUUUUCAUCUACAAAGAAACAUACACCAUAAAAAUAAAAUAUAAUCAAACACAUUAAUAAUACAUUCAAACCGUUCAGGAGAAAAACAGAAAGUUUAAUCAACUAGGAAGAAAAAUAAUCUUAUACAAGGACAUUAAUGGAAUCCAACUAGAGAACACACAUGUUAUAUUGCAAAACUUAAUGUCAAUUUUCCUCUCCUGCCCUUAUAGAUACCUUUGUACCAUGAAUCAAUUGUGAAUCAGAGUCUGCUAAAAUUUAAGAACUUUUCUCAUCUACAAGGUUGUCAUGACUCUCCCACAACCCAAUAUAUGUCUAUAGCAUGCAAGUAAAAUAUUGAACCAAUGUCCUUUAUGUUAUGAUUGGAUUGAAGAGUUUCAAAUGAGAGGAUUUUGACACAAUUUUGUUUUAAAUUGUUUGAAUGAAAUUAAGUAAAUUUUUCAAUGGUUAGAUUCAUGAAUUGAAAAUUAAAUUCAUAAAUGUAGAGAAAAUUUUGUUUUUGGUGAACUUAAAACAACACAUUUUUCUAGGUAUUUCAAAUUCACAAUCAAAUAAGAUUUUUAUCCAUAUUCGUCAGCCUAACUUACAUUCAUAAAUCUAAAAAAUAAAGAAUCUAAGAAUAUGUAAAUUCAAAUCUCUCCAUUUAAAUUCCUCAUUCAAAGACAAUGUUAGAAGACAAUACACAUAAAGCAAAAGUUUUGGCCAUUGACCAAUUUGUCAUUUCAAGCAUGCCUGUAAACCAAAAUGUGCAAAAAAAAAGUACAAUUUUUUUUACCAUGGAAAAAUUAGCAGGCUCAAAUUACCUCAAUCAAAGCUUCCCACUUUUAUAUAGACAAUAAGAAUGAUAAACCGAAACCAAUUUGCGCUUAAUCAACAAUGAUACCAAAACACUUAUCUUCUAAUCAACUGGCAUAGUGGCCACAAUAUUCUUAUUAACAAAUACAAAAUUGGCUUUAUCUUCUUGAGUCUUAAAUAAUUGUUAACACCUCAAAAUAUUUAGAAGUUCCAACCUUAAAUGGAGAAUCAUUACACCUUGAAGCAUGGAUAUUUAAGUAUAACUUCUGUUUGACCAAUUCCAACUAGAAACUAUGUUGUGGAUACAUUUGUGGGCAGAUUAAAUUGUUUGAAACUUAAAAUUGUGGUAAAUCCCUUUCAGUUAGAGGUUGUUUUGAAAAUCAAGGGACCAGACCAGAAUCUUCAUCUGCAACUUUGAUUUUAGAUUUUUAUUUCAAGUUUAAAAAAUAAUUAGUUAUGAUGUAACUUUUAUAGAAGUCUUGUUCCUUUAUUCUACUGUAGCCUUUCUACAUAAGGCAUCAAUUAUGAUUAAUGAAAUAAGCAGCAUUUUAUCCAAAAGUAUUUAUGAGAUUGGAAGGUUCCCUCUAACAAGCCUUCACAUUAAGUUUCAAACAUAGGUUCUUCAAGGAAGAACAGGAAUGUGAACAAAGGAAAAACAGCAAGACUUGAGAAGGAUUUCCGAGUUUAUUGACCUGUGAUGAGAUCCUAUUCAAGGGAAUAUAACAACUUGGUAUCAGAGCCAAUCAUCAUGGGUGAACUAGCAAGUCUAGAAGAGAAGCCAAACACUUUCAUGCAACAAUUCAAAGCUCUAUACAAUGACUUGGCUCAGCAACUAUCCGAGCUGGUGUGAACCUUUAACAAAGGAACAAAUCAGAACCAAGAUGGAAUGAGGAGUAGCUAACAAAAUUUUGGUCAACAGGCUAACGAGC